rnacentral:rRNA from 1 species
CCUACGGGUGGCAGCAGUGGAGGAUCUUGCACAAUGGGGGAAACCCUGAUGCAGCGACGCCGCGUGAGUGAAUGAGUAUUUCGGUAUUUAAAGCUCUAGCAGCAGGGAAGAAAAUGACAGUACCUGACCAAGAAGCCCCGGCUAACUACGUGCCAGCAGCCGCGGUAACACGUAGGGGGCAAGCGUUAUCCGGAUUUACUGGGUGUAAGGGGAGCGUAGACGGUUAUGUAAGUCUGGAGGGAAAGCCCGGGGCACAACCCCGGGACUGCUUAGGAAACUGUGUAACUGGAGUACAGGAGGGGCAGGCGGAAUUCCUGGUGUAGCGGUGAAAUGCGUAGAUAUCAGGAGGAACACCGGCGGCGAAGGCGGCCUGCUGGACUGAAACUGACGUUGAGGCUCGAAAGCGUGGGGAGCAAACAGGAUUAGAUACCCCGGUAGUC